GCUUACCAUGCCAGUCGAGCGGAAACGAUGGGAGCUUGCUCCCAGGCGUCGAGCGGCGGACGGGUGAGUAACACUUAGGAAUCUACCUAGUAGUGGGGGAUAGCUCGGGGAAACUCGAAUUAAUACCGCAUACGWCCUACGGGAGAAAGGGGGCAGUUUACUGCUCUCGCUAUUAGAUGAGCCUAAGUCGGAUUAGCUAGWUGGUGGGGUAAAGGCCUACCAWGGCGACGAUCUGUAGCUGGUCUGAGAGGAUGAUCAGCCACACCGGGACUGAGACACGGCCCGGACUCCUACGGGAGGCAGCAGUGGGGAAUAUUGGACAAUGGGGGAAACCCUGAUCCAGCCAUGCCGCGUGUGUGAAGAAGGCCUUUUGGUUGUAAAGCACUUUAAGCAGUGAAGAAGACCUAACGGUUAAUACCCGUUAGCGAUGACAUUAGCUGCAGAAUAAGCACCGGCUAACUCUGUGCCAGCAGCCGCGGUAAUACAGAGGGUGCAAGCGUUAAUCGGAAUUACUGGGCGUAAAGCGAGCGUAGGUGGCUUGAUAAGUCAGAUGUGAAAUCCCCGGGCUUAACCUGGGAACUGCAUCUGAUACUGUUAAGCUAGAGUAGGUGAGAGGGAAGUAGAAUUCCAGGUGUAGCGGUGAAAUGCGUAGAGAUCUGGAGGAAUACCGAUGGCGAAGGCAGCUUCCUGGCAUCAUACUGACACUGAGGYUCGAAAGCGUGGGUAGCAAACAGGAUUAGAUACCCUGGUAGUCCACGCCGUAAACGAUGUCUACUAGUCGUUGGGUCCCUUGAGGACUUAGUGACGCAGCUAACGCAAUAAGUAGACCGCCUGGGGAGUACGGCCGCAAGGUUAAAACUCAAAUGAAUUGACGGGGGCCCGCACAAGCGGUGGAGCAUGUGGUUUAAUUCNAUGCAACGCGAANAACCUUACCUGGUCUUGACAUACACA
rnacentral:rRNA from 1 species